rnacentral:rRNA from 2 species
CCAAGCAGCUAGCCCACCACUAACCCCAACACCCACUUAUUUAUACCCCAUAAUACACUAAAACUAACAAUCAAACCAUUUUUCCCCCAAGUAUGGGCGACAGAAAAGGAACUUAGGAGCGACAGAAAAAGUACCGCAAGGGAAUGCUGAAAGAGAAAUGAAACAACCCAGUAAAGCUAAGAAAAGCAGAGAUUUUGUCUCGUACCUUUUGCAUCAUGAUUUAGCAAGUAUUUGCCAAGCAAAAAGUAUUUUAGUUUGGCCCCCCGAAACCAAGUGAGCUACUCCAAGACAACCUAUAACUAGGGUAAACCCGUCUCUGUGGCAAAAGAGUGGGAAGAUCUUUGAGUAGAGGUGACAGACCAAUCGAACUUGGCAAUAGCUGGUUGCUUGAGAAACGAAUAGAAGUUCUGCCUCUUACAUUCUCACUUCAAUCCUGGUCAACAAGACCUUGUCCGCAGGUAAAAAGAAGGUAAGAAGGUUAAUCAAAGGGGGUACAGCCCUUUUGAGACAAAACACAACUUUUCCAGAAGGGUAAAGAUCAUAAUUUUUAAGGUAACUAUGUUUUGGUGGGCCUAAAAGCAGCCAUCCCAUUAGAAAGCGUUAAAGCUCUAACAUACUUUCCCCCUCGAUUCCGAUAACAAAUCUUAACCCCCUAAUACAUAUCAAGCCGUCCCAUAAGUAUAUGGGAGUGAUUAUGCUAAAAUGAGUAACCAGAGAGCACUGCCUCUCUCCCUGUACAUGUGUAAAUCGGAACGGACUCCCCGCCGAAAUUUAACGGUCCCAAACAAUAGAGGGCACUGAAUGAUAAACAACAAACAAGAAAAUCAUCCAAAACACUACCGUUAACCCUACACAGGUGUACUCCAAAGGAAAGACCAAAAGGAAAAGAAGGAACUCGGCAAAUACACCUAUAAGCCUCGCCUGUUUACCAAAAACAUCGCCUCUUGUUAAUUACACAUAAGAGGUCUAGCCUGCCCCGUGACCCCUGGUUCAACGGCCGCGGUAUUUUGACCGUGCAAAGGUAGCGCAAUCACUUGUCUCUUAAAUGAAGACCCGUAUGAAUGGCAUAACGAGGGCUUGACUGUCUCCUUUUCCCGGUCACUGAAAUUGAUCUUCCCGUGCAGAAGCGGAAAUUCUCACAUAAGACGAGAAGACCCUAUGGAGCUUUAGACCUCAGAACAGGCCAUGUAAGCUACCUCAAUAAAAUAGGUAAUAACUAUUGAACCUCUGUUCCCCUGUCUUUGGUUGGGGCGACCACGGGGAAGAAAAAAUCCCCCAUGUGGACCAGGAGCACAAUUUACUCCUACAACAAUGAGCUACAGCUCUAAAGCACAGAAUCUUUGACCAUAAGAUCCGGCAAAGCCGAUUAACGAACCAAGUUACCCUAGGGAUAACAGCGCAAUCCUCUUUAAGAGUCCAUAUCGACAAGAGGGUUUACGACCUCGAUGUUGGAUCAAGACAUCCUAAUGGUGCAGCCGCUAUUAAGGGUUCGUUUGU